CGAGAAACACUCCAAUUGGUGGGGUGUGAGCCGUGAGGGGUUCUCGUCUGUAGUGGACGAGGGCCGGGUGCACAACAACAGGCAAUCGCCAGACACACUAUUGGGCCCUGAGACAACACUCGGCCGACUUCGGUUGAAGUGGUGUCCCUCCAUCUUGGUGGUGGGGUGUGGUGUUUGAGUAUUGGAUAGUGGUUGCGAGCAUCUAAAUGAACGCGUCGCCGGCAACGGUUACGUGUUCGUUUUGUGUAAUUUUUUCUUUUGGUUUUUGUGUUCGUAAGUGUUUAAGGGCACAUGGUGGAUGCCUUGGCAUCGAGAGCCGAUGAAGGACGUGGGAGGCUGCGAUAAGCCUCGG
rnacentral:misc_RNA from 1 species